AAUUCCAGCUCCAAUAGUGUAUAUUAGAGUUGUUGCAGUUAAAAAGCUCGUAGUUGGAUUUCUGCUGUGGUCAUCCGGUACCGCCCGUACGGGUGCGCACCUGGUUUGGCUGCGGCUUUCUUCCUGUAGCCAUCCGCGCUUAAUUGCGUGUGUUGUGUUGCGGAACUUUUACUUUGAGAAAAAUAGAGUGUUUCAAGCAGGCUUGUCGCCCUGAAUACUUCAGCAUGGAAUAAUAGGAUAGGACCUUGGUUCUAUUUUGUUGGUUUCUAGGACCAAGGUAAUGAUUAAUAGGGACAGUUGGGGGCAUUCGUAUUUAACUGUCAGAGGUGAAAUUCUUAGAUUUGUUAAAGACGAACUACUGCGAAAGCAUUUGCCAAGGAUGUUUUCAUUAAUCAAGAACGACAGUAGGGGGUUUGAAGACGAUUAGAUACCGUCGUAAUCUCUACCAUAAACUAUGCCGACUAGAGAUAGGGAAACGCCUACCUUGGCUUCUCCUG
rnacentral:rRNA from 1 species